rnacentral:misc_RNA from 1 species
GAUGAAGAACGUAGCGAAAUGCGAUACGUAAUGUGAAUUGCAGAAUUCAGUGAAUCAUCGAAUCUUUGAACGCACAUUGCGCCUGCCAGCACUCUGGCAGGCAUGCCUGUUCGAGCGUCAUUUGUACCCUCAAGCUUUGCUUGGUGUUGGGCGUCUUGUCUCUAGCUUUGCUGGAGACUCGCCUUAAAGUAAUUGGCAGCCGGCCUACUGGUUUCGGAGCGCAGCACAAGUCGCACUCUCUAUCAGCAAAGGUCUAGCAUCCAUUAAGCCUUUUUUUCAACUUUUGACCUCGGAUCAGGUAGGGAUACCCGCUGAACUUAAGCAUAUCAAUAAGCGGAGGA